GCAGCGAGCGAACCUGGAUUAGCCCUUAAGCACUCGGUGAAGUAGGUGAACAAGCUGGAAAGCUUGGCGAUACAGGGUGAUAGCCCCGUAACCGACGCUUCAUCGAGCGUGAAAUCGAGUAGGGCGGGACACGUGAUAUCCUGUCUGAAUAUGGGGGGACCAUCCUCCAAGGCUAAAUACUCCUGACUGACCGAUAGUGAACCAGUACCGUGAGGGAAAGGCGAAAAGAACCCCUGUGAGGGGAGUGAAAUAGAACCUGAAACCGUGUACGUACAAGCAGUAGGAGCACCUUCGUGGUGUGACUGCGUACCUUUUGUAUAAUGGGUCAGCGACUUAUAUUCAGUGGCAAGGUUAACCGUAUAGGGGAGCCGUAGCGAAAGCGAGUCUUAACUGGGCGCUCAGUCUCUGGAUAUAGACCCGAAACCGGGUGAUCUAGCCAUGGGCAGGUUGAAGGUUGAGUAACAUCAACUGGAGGACCGAACCGACUAAUGUUGAAAAAUUAGCGGAUGACUUGUGGCUAGGGGUGAAAGGCCAAUCAAACUCGGAGAUAGCUGGUUCUCCCCGAAAGCUAUUUAGGUAGCGCCUCGGACGAAUACUACUGGGGGUAGAGCACUGUUAAGGCUAGGGGGUCAUCCCGACUUACCAACCCUUUGCAAACUCCGAAUACCAGUAAGUACUAUCCGGGAGACACACGGCGGGUGCUAACGUCCGUCGUGGAGAGGGAAACAACCCAGACCGCCAGCUAAGGUCCCAAAGUAUUGCUAAGUGGGAAACGAUGUGGGAAGGCUCAGACAGCUAGGAUGUUGGCUUAGAAGCAGCCAUCAUUUAAAGAAAGCGUAAUAGCUCACUAGUCGAGUCGGCCUGCGCGGAAGAUGUAACGGGGCUAAGCAAUACACCGAAGCUGCGGCAAUAUCUUUUAGAUAUUGGGUAGGGGAGCGUUCUGUAAGCCGUUGAAGGUGAAUCGUAAGGUUUGCUGGAGGUAUCAGAAGUGCGAAUGCUGACAUGAGUAACGACAAAGGGGGUGAAAAACCUCCUCGCCGGAAGACCAAGGGUUCCUGUCCAACGUUAAUCGGGGCAGGGUGAGUCGACCCCUAAGGUGAGGCCGAAAGGCGUAAUCGAUGGGAAACGGGUUAAUAUUCCCGUACUUCUGACUAUUGCGAUGGGGGGACGGAGAAGGCUAGGUGGGCCAGGCGACGGUUGUCCUGGUUCAAGUGCGUAGGCUUGAGAGUUAGGUAAAUCCGGCUCUCUCUAAGGCUGAGACACGACGUCGAGCUGCUACGGCAGUGAAGUCAUUGAUGCCAUGCUUCCAGGAAAAGCCUCUAAGCUUCAGAUAGUCAGGAAUCGUACCCCAAACCGACACAGGUGGUCGGGUAGAGAAUACCAAGGCGCUUGAGAGAACUCGGGUGAAGGAACUAGGCAAAAUGGUACCGUAACUUCGGGAGAAGGUACGCUCUUGAUGGUGAAGUCCCUCGCGGAUGGAGCUGACGAGAGUCGCAGAUACCAGGUGGCUGCAACUGUUUAUUAAAAACACAGCACUGUGCAAAAUCGCAAGAUGACGUAUACGGUGUGACGCCUGCCCGGUGCCGGAAGGUUAAUUGAUGGGGUUAGCGCAAGCGAAGCUCUUGAUCGAAGCCCCGGUAAACGGCGGCCGUAACUAUAACGGUCCUAAGGUAGCGAAAUUCCUUGUCGGGUAAGUUCCGACCUGCACGAAUGGCGUAAUGAUGGCCACGCUGUCUCCACCCGAGACUCAGUGAAAUUGAAAUCGCUGUGAAGAUGCAGUGUACCCGCGGCUAGACGGAAAGACCCCGUGAACCUUUACUACAGCUUGACACUGAACAUUGAACCUACAUGUGUAGGAUAGGUGGGAGGCUAUGAAGACGUGACGCCAGUUGCGUUGGAGCCGUCCUUGAAAUACCACCCUUGUAUGUUUGAUGUUCUAACUUAGACCCAUUAUCUGGGUUGAGGACAGUGCCUGGUGGGUAGUUUGACUGGGGCGGUCUCCUCCCAAAGAGUAACGGAGGAGCACGAAGGUGGGCUAAUCACGGUUGGACAUCGUGAGGUUAGUGCAAUGGCAUAAGCCCGCUUAACUGCGAGAAUGACGGUUCGAGCAGGUGCGAAAGCAGGUCAUAGUGAUCCGGUGGUUCUGUAUGGAAGGGCCAUCGCUCAACGGAUAAAAGGUACUCCGGGGAUAACAGGCUGAUACCGCCCAAGAGUUCAUAUCGACGGCGGUGUUUGGCACCUCGAUGUCGGCUCAUCACAUCCUGGGGCUGAAGUCGGUCCCAAGGGUAUGGCUGUUCGCCAUUUAAAGUGGUACGCGAGCUGGGUUUAGAACGUCGUGAGACAGUUCGGUCCCUAUCUGCCGUGGGCGUUGGAAGAUUGAAGGGGGCUGCUCCUAGUACGAGAGGACCGGAGUGGACGAACCUCUGGUGUUCGGGUUGUGUCGCCAGACGCAUUGCCCGGUAGCUAAGUUCGGAAUUGAUAAGCGCUGAAAGCAUCUAAGCGCGAAGCGAGCCCUGAGAUGAGUCUUCCC
rnacentral:rRNA from 1 species